UGACUUUGGUUUCUUCAUAACGCACAAGUCUUUCGCCUUACCAAAGACUUCCGUGAGAGGAACAAAACAUUAUUGAAUAUAUUUUUGGCAGGCUUUGCUGUGCAUGGCUG